UGGGGAAUAUUGGACAAUGGGCGAAAGCCUGAUCCAGCCAUGCCGCGUGUGUGAAGAAGGUCUUCGGAUUGUAAAGCACUUUAAGUUGGGAGGAAGGGCAGUAAGCGAAUACCUUGCUGUUUUGACGUUACCGACAGAAUAAGCACCGGCUAACUCUGUGCCAGCAGCCGCGGUAAUACAGAGGGUGCAAGCGUUAAUCGGAAUUACUGGGCGUAAAGCGCGCGUAGGUGGUUCGUUAAGUUGAAUGUGAAAGCCCCGGGCUCAACCUGUGAACUGCAUCCAAAACUGGCGAGCUAGAGUAGGGCAGAGGGUGGUGGAAUUUCCUGUGUAGCGGUGAAAUGCGUAGAUAUAGGAAGGAACACCAGUGGCGAAGGCGACCACCUGGGCUCAUACUGACACUGGGGUGCGAAAGCGUGGGGAGCAAACAGG
rnacentral:rRNA from 1 species